rnacentral:rRNA from 1 species
UGGCGGCAUGGCUUACACAUGCAAGUCGAACGGCAGCACGGGGGUAACCCUGGUGGCGAGUGGCGAACGGGUGAGUAAUACAUCGGAACGUGCCCAGUCGUGGGGGAUAACGUAGCGAAAGUUACGCUAAUACCGCAUACGAUCUCUGGAUGAAAGCGGGGGACCGCAAGGCCUCGCGCGAUUGGAGCGGCCGAUGGCAGAUUAGGUAGUUGGUGGGGUAAAAGCUUACCAAGCCUCCGAUCUGUAGCUGGUCUGAGAGGACGAUCAGCCACACUGGGACUGAGACACGGCCCAGACUCCUACGGGAGGCAGCAGUGGGGAAUUUUGGACAAUGGGCGCAAGCCAGAUCCAGCAAUGNCGCGUGCAGGACGAAGGNCUUCGGGUUGUAAACUGC